UAUUAUCUUAUUUAGAGCAUGUCGUAAUGCCGGCAAAGAACUCAAACUAUUUAUCUUCUUCCUUUGAAGAAACCCUAAGUGUUGUCGCCCUCUUCGGUCACCUCUCUGUCCCCCGUUAGUCGUCCACCAUCUGUUCUAUCAACCUCUAGCCGCAUGAAGUCGAAGCAUCAUCGUCCUGUUUCGUUGUUUCCUGUUCGUGUCCCUUCGUGCAUCAUUCUCGUUCGUGUCCCUUCGUGCUAAAUUUAAUUGAAGGUUUUUUAUCUGUGGAUUUUCCCCAACCAAGGUUUAAUUGGUUUCAAUCUCCUUCUUUGGAUUUUGUCUAUUGGAAAGAUGCGACUGUUAGAAACAAUUUUUGUUAAGCUAAUCUUGAGCCCGAUUCUUUUAGGUGUUUCUUCGGGUCGUUCAAUAGUUGUUCCUUUGGGAUCACCAAAGACCAGAUGUGUUCCUCCGGGAGUACUAGAUAGCGUGUGAUCGGGAGCAUGAUAGUUAUGAGAAAAGGUAGAGGUAGAGGUAGAGGAAAGCUUAUGAAUGACAAGAAGUGAUUGUGGUUCGCCGUAGGAGAAAGUUUAUGUGCUUCCACUUUUAUGUCUUCAAUAUUUUGAUUUAUAGUAUUUUAUUUCAGAACUCAUGAGUACUCUUAUGAUAUUUUCUUUUUAUUUUAAAUAGGGUCCAAACGAAUAUUUUAUGUAUUA